CGUGCACUGGUGGGGUCCCUUGGCCGGGCCUGUGACCUCUAGCAAUCUGGAACCCCUCGGGGAUGUUGGAGAGCCAGUUUCAGCCCAAUCACGCAGGCCAGGCCAAGGGACCCCACUGGUGCACG
rnacentral:pre_miRNA from 1 species